ACACUAUUGUUUAAUAAAAUAAAUACUAACAUUCAUAAUUUUUUGUGUUUUGUUUUGGAUCAAAAUACGUUGAUGUGUACAUUCAUAUUUAUUUUGGAGUUUUUUUUGACAAAAAAUCUUAGAUUCAUACAUAAACUAAGAUACAUAGUUUUACAUGAGCGUACCAGUUGUACCUAAACGCUUAGAU
rnacentral:sRNA from 1 species